GCCCCCGGGCGUGCAACAAUCUAGUCAUCUCUAACCUAGGUUACCAGCAUGCAUUGCAUGCUUGAACCUGCUCUACUAGGCUUAGCUGGUACCUGCUGCUGGACAUGAGUAGCUGUCGCGCUCUAGAUCGACGAAAGUUCGUGCUCGUCAAUCAUCAAAGCCUGUAACGGUACGGUGACGAGUGUGUGGUUGCAUGCUUUCAACACUAAAUAGUGCUGCGCUUUGACGUUUGGGUCUUUGGGAGUUCGAUCGGGAAAGCGAGUCUCCCUUUCUCAGAAUUAUAUUUCGCUGAAUUCAGCGGCUUACAUACUGCCAAGAUCGUUAUGCGAACAAAAAAAAAAAAGCCAAAAGAGAUCGAUAUGGAAGUAUGGAACAGAGAUGGCACACUAGAUUCGCAGUCCCACUCCCACCCAGGCGUACAAGUCGAUCGAUCGGGGACUGGAGGGCUCGUUCGGUUGUUCUUGGAAUAAUUUGCACUCGGAUUAAUUGUUUGGCUAAUUUAUAGUAUGGCUUUUGAUGAGCUGAAUAGUUUCUAGGUACAUCCAGGAG
rnacentral:lncRNA from 1 species